rnacentral:lncRNA from 1 species
AAAUGUCAUUGGGAUGACUUCCACCAGAUACACACAUCUUGGCUAUCUGGCUUAAAGUCAGUGUCUGUUGAACCUUAAUGUGUCUAUGGGCUGGGGUCUGCUGGCAGGAAACUGUUGUUUGGUUCUUUCCCCAUAUUUCAUCAAUUCUUCUGCUGAAGCACAGUGUUUGCAAAGGGGAUAUAAGAUACAACAAAUCAGAUUGUAUUUUAGACUGAAAUUAAUUUAUGAUGUGAAAUGAUCAUGAGCUCAUAUGGACUACAGGAUUUUGGUCAGUUUUAACUGGACAGUAUUUUAUAUUAAAUUAUUUAUAUGUAAUGGAAAACCACAUUCUGUAUUUUCUAGCAUAAUCUAUUUUUCUUUCUCUGCACAGACUGCUCAAUCUAGGCAAGUGGUUUGGGAAAGAAAAUCAGUUUCCCUUUGGGGUGUCUCUGACUGUGCCUUUCAGCCCUUUGUGCCUGUGCCCUCCCAGUUCCCCAGAGCUGCUGUGCCAGUCUCAUCAGCUGCUUCCUUAUCCUCUCUCUUUGAAACAACKAUUUCUAUGUUUUUUCUGCCAAGUGUGUUGCAAACUCAAGAGUGAGACCAGGAGAGAGGACCUCCCUCUGGUCAUUCCUUGUGUUCGUUCCCACCAGCAAGAGGUAAGAGCGACCGCAUGCAAAGUCCUGACAAGCCUGGUCUAUCCAAGAUGGAGCAUGCUCAGUGAAAUGCAUUUUGGGAGAAGUUUGCUGCCAAAUGUUAACAACUGUUUGCAUCUGUAUUUUUGUUUUUCAGAACCGUAGCCAGAUAGCCAGAUUGGGCAGAUUUUCUUGGGCAUAUUGUUCCUGCCUGAUGUUAGUGCAGCCUUCCUGCCAAAUUUCAAGCCUUUGAUAUAAAG